UUGCUUGGGUGACACAUAUACUAAAAUUGGAAUGAUAGUGAGGAGAUUAACUUGGUCCUGGUGCAAAGAUGACACACAAAUUCAUGAAGCAUCCUAUAUUUUU
ensembl:snRNA U6 U6 spliceosomal RNA